rnacentral:rRNA from 1 species
GACGAACGCUGGCGGCGUGCUUAACACAUGCCAGUCGAACGGAAAGGCCCUGCUUUUGUGGGGUGCUCGAGUGGCGAACGGGUGAGUAACACGUGAGUAACCUGCCCUUGACUUUGGGAUAACUUCAGGAAACUGGGGCUAAUACCGGAUAGGAGCUCCUGCUGCAUGGUGGGGGUUGGAAAGUUUCGGCGGUUGGGGAUGGACUCGCGGCUUAUCAGCUUGUUGGUGGGGUAGUGGCUUACCAAGGCUUUGACGGGUAGCCGGCCUGAGAGGGUGACCGGCCACAUUGGGACUGAGAUACGGCCCAGACUCCUACGGGAGGCAGCAGUGGGGAAUAUUGCACAAUGGGCGGAAGCCUGAUGCAGCAACGCCGCGUGCGGGAUGACGGCCUUCGGGUUGUAAACCGCUUUCGCCUGUGACGAAGCGUGAGUGACGGUAAUGGGUAAAGAAGCACCGGCUAACACGUG